rnacentral:rRNA from 1 species
UACCAGCUCUCCGAGUGGUAGGGAUGAUUAUUGGGCUUAAAGCGUUCGUAGCCGGCUUAGCAAGUCUCCUGUUAAAUUCAGCGACCUAAUCGUUGAGCCGCGGGAGAUACUACUAGGCUAGGAGGCGGGAGAGGUCGACGGUACUUCUGGGGUAGGGGUGAAAUCCUAUAAUCCCGGGAGGACCACCAGUGGCGAAGGCUGUCGACUAGAACGCGCUCGACGGUGAGGGACGAAAGCUGGGGGAGCGAACCGGAUUAGAUACCCGGGUAGUCCCAGCUGUAAACGAUGCGGGCUAGGUGUUGGGGUGGCUACGUGCCACUUCAGUGCCGCAGGGAAGCCAUUAAGCCCGCCGCCUGGGGAGUACGGCCGCAAGGCUGAAACUUAAAGGAAUUGGCGGGGGAGCACCACAAGGCGUGAAGCUUGCGGUUC